UCGCACGAGAAAAGUGGAGCAAUCCAUGAGUAAAGUGGCGUACGGGUGAGUAACACGUGGAUCAUCUACCUCUGGGUGGGGAAUAACCUGGGAAACCGGGGNCUAAUACCGCAUAAGCCUGGAAAGGGAAAGCAGCAAUGCGCCGAGAGAGGAGUCCGCGGCCGAUUAGCUAGUUGGUAGGGUAAUGGCCUACCAAGGCAAUGAUCGGUAGCCGGCCUGAGAGGGCACACGGCCACACUGGCACUGAAACACGGGCCAGACUCCUACGGGAGGCAGCAGUGGGGAAUCUUGCACAAUGGGGGAAACCCUGAUGCAGCGACGCCGCGUGAGCGAUGAAGCCCUGUCGGGGUGUAAAGCUCUUUCGGCAGGAACGAUAAUGACGGUACCUGAAGAAGAAGCUGCGGCUAACUACGUG
rnacentral:rRNA from 1 species